GACGAACGCUGGCGGCGUGCUUAACACAUGCAAGUCGAACGGUAAGGCCCUUCGGGGUACACGAGUGGCGAACGGGUGAGUAACACGUGGGUGAUCUGCCCUGCACUUCGGGAUAAGCCUGGGAAACUGGGUCUAAUACCGGAUAGGACCACUGCCUGCAUGGGUGGUGGCGGAAAGCCUUUGCGGUGUGGGAUGGGCCCGCGGCCUAUCAGCUUGUUGGUGGGGUGAUGGCCUACCAAGGCGACGACGGGUAGCCGGCCUGAGAGGGUGACCGGCCACACUGGGACUGAGAUACGGCCCAGACUCCUACGGGAGGCAGCAGUGGGGAAUAUUGCACAAUGGGCGCAAGCCUGAUGCAGCGACGCCGCGUGAGGGAUGACGGCCUUCGGGUUGUAAACCUCUUUCAGCACCGACGAAGCGCAAGUGACGGUAGGUGCAGAAGAAGGACCGGCCAACUACGUGCCAGCCGCCGCAGUAA
rnacentral:rRNA from 1 species